CAACCUUCCAGGCAACUAGAACUCUAGGCCUGUAUUUGAGAAAGGAUGGGCAGGUUCAGUUCACACCCCUCGGAGAAUGACUUCCAGUUUCACACAAUCCCAUCCCUGGUCUCUCUUCCAUUGCGUUUAUAGCCAUGGAGAGGUCUGAAGAAGUUAGCCCAGGAAAGACCACGCUCCUUAGGCAAGACUGGGACCCCAAACAAACCUGGACCAGAGGGGGAAAAUCCUAGGAAAAGGGAGUGGAGACAGCCACCCACUAGGACAAGCAUCUACUCCUUCUCUCCUCUUCUUGGGCCAAGGAACACGGCUAACUAGUUAAUAUAAGAAACCAUUAGAAACUGCACUUCACUCCUCAGGAAGAGUUGACAUCUCUCACUGCCCUCUUGCCUCCAUUGUUCUUUCUCCUGGACAGUUGGAACUCAAGAUCCCCUUUCACUCCCUUCUUGAGUACCCCUAGCACUUGCUGGGUUGGUGGAGCAGGGAACUCUCGGUUCUCCACUCAGGACUUUCUGGAAGCCCAUCUUCGUAUCCUCACCAGCCCACCCUCCUACGCUGGUCAGAGUGAGAUUGCUAACCUCAAGACCCCAUUCAAUGCCAGCUUUCAACUACUGCUGAAGACCAAUGUAGGUCCUGGAAUAGAAGAACUGCAGAGUAUCCGGAGCUGGCCGACCCCAGACUGAUUCUCAACAGGUGGCUGGGUAGUGCCCCCCACCCUGUGUUGGUAGUGCGGGACCCAUCGCACACAGAGAAGCCACCUUACCCCUCACCUCACCCCGUCGGCCAAAGACUGACCACCCGCGCCCGAGUGUGGGGAGGGGUGGGAAUUCCGGAUCACACACACACACACACACACACACACACACCAGGGUAGGGGAACAGGGAAGAUCUUACCUGCAGAAAGGUAAGAGAAGCCGGGAGCGUGUAGCAGCGGCGGAUAAAUAUUCAUUAGGAAGUGUAAGUCCUUUCAAAGGGCUCCGCGCGCGCGCUCUAGCUCCUGUCUCUCUUUCUCUCCCUCCCUCUGUCCUCCAGGAAGGCUUCCCCUCCUCUAGCUAUCUCAACGCCCCCCCCCCNUUCCUGCGAAAUACCGGGUGGAUCCUAGGCUAGCUAACCUGUUGGGAAGCCUGAACUGCGGUAGCGCCUCUGCAGCUAGCAGUUUGCUUUCGCUCCUGGGGCGCGCGUCCCCCCCCCAUCCCCUCCCCUCCUUCCUUUCGCCCAGCCCCUCACCCCUCCUAAAUCACUACAUCAUUAGCUUUAUUGGGCGGGGGGGGGGCGGGUAACGGAGCAGCCAGACGCACCUCUCCAUAGAAGGGUGAAUAGUUGGUGCCCUGCGAUGCAACCCCAACUCCAUCUCCACCUCAUUCUCACCCAUCUGCACAUCCUCAUCCAAUCUUGCUUCUUUUUCUUC
ensembl:processed_transcript Six3os1 SIX homeobox 3, opposite strand 1